rnacentral:siRNA from 1 species
ACCAAAACGGCCACAAACUAGAGA